UGCCAGCAGCCGCGGUAAUACGGAGGGGGCAAGCGUUAUUCGGAUUUAUUGGGCGUAAAGGGCAUCUAGGCGGCCUGAUAAGUCAAAGGUGAAAUCCCUCGGCUCAACCUUGGAAGUGCAUUCGAAACCGCGAGACUAGAGUAUCGGAGAGGUUGGUGGAAUUCUCGGUGUAGAGGUGAAAUUCGUAGAUAUCGAGAGGAACACCGGUGGCGAAGGCGGCCAACUGGACGAAUACUGACGCUGAGACACGAAAGCGUGGGGAGCAAACAGGAUUAGAUA
rnacentral:rRNA from 1 species